rnacentral:sRNA from 1 species
GCCAGGCAUGGUGGCACAUGCCUGUAAUCCCAGAGACUCAGGAGGCUGAGGCAGGAGGAUCACAAGUUGAAAGUCAGGCCCUAAGCAACUUAGUGAAACCCUUUCUCAA